UCUGAGAGGAUGACCAGCCACACUGGAACUGAGACACGGUCCAGACUCCUACGGGAGGCAGCAGUGGGGAAUAUUGCACAAUGGGCGCAAGCCUGAUGCAGCCAUGCCGCGUGUAUGAAGAAGGCCUUCGGGUUGUAAAGUACUUUCAGCGGGGAGGAAGGGAGUAAAGUUAAUACCUUUGCUCAUUGACGUUACCCGCAGAAGAAGCACCGGCUAACUCCGUGCCAGCAGCCGCGGUAAUACGGAGGGUGCAAGCGUUAAUCGGAAUUACUGGGCGUAAAGCGCACGCAGGCGGUUUGUUAAGUCAGAUGUGAAAUCCCCGGGCUCAACCUGGGAACUGCAUCUGAUACUGGCAAGCUUGAGUCUCGUAGAGGGGGGUAGAAUUCCAGGUGUAGCGGUGAAAUGCGUAGAGAUCUGGAGGAAUACCGGUGGCGAAGGCGGCCCCCUGGACGAAGACUGACGCUCAGGUGCGAAAGCGUGGGGAGCAAACAGGAUU
rnacentral:rRNA from 1 species